GGCUGGUCCGAAGGUAGUGAACUCCUUGUUCUACUACUUUGCCCACUUCUCACUACCAUACUUGACUAUUCUAAA
rnacentral:Y_RNA from 1 species